rnacentral:misc_RNA from 1 species
GAUGAAGAACGUAGCGAAAUGCGAUAAGUAAUGUGAAUUGCAGAAUUCAGUGAAUCAUCGAAUCUUUGAACGCACCUUGCGCCCUUUGGCCAUUCCGAAGGGCAUGCCUGUUUGAGUAUCAUGAACACCUCAACUCUUCAUGGUUUUCCGUGAUGAGCUUGGACUUUGGGGGUCUUGCUGGCCUAUGGUCAGCUCCUCUAAAAUAAAUCAGCUUGCCAGUGUUUGGUGGGUAUCACAGGUGUGAUAACUACCUACGCUUGUGGUUUUCCACCAGGUAACCUUCAGCAGUGGAGGUUCGCUGGAGCUCACAGAUGUGUCUCUCCUCAGUGAGGACAGCUCUUUGAAUGUUUGAUCUCAAAUCAGGUAGGACUACCCGCUGAACUUAAGCAUAUCAAUAAGCGGAGGA